rnacentral:rRNA from 1 species
UACGAAGGGGGCUAGCGUUGCUCGGAAUCACUGGGCGUAAAGCGCACGUAGGCGGCUUUCUAAGUCAGGGGUGAAAUCCUGGAGCUCAACUCCAGAACUGCCUUUGAUACUGGAGAGCUUGAGUUCGAGAGAGGUGGGUGGAAUUCCUAGUGUAGAGGUGAAAUUCGUAGAUAUUAGGAAGAACACCGGUGGCGAAGGCGGCCCACUGGCUCGAUACUGACGCUGAGGUGCGAAAGCGUGGGGAGCAAACAGG